rnacentral:rRNA from 1 species
AAGGAAUAUUGGACAAUGGGCGCAAGCCUGAUCCAGCCAUGCCGCGUGAAGGAUGAAGGCCCUAUGGGUCGUAAACUUCUUUUAUACGGGACAAAACCCCCCGACGUGUCGGGGGUUGAUGGUACUGUAAGAAUAAGGGUCGGCUAACUUCGUGCCAGCAGCCGCGGUAAUACGAAGGACCCAAGCGUUAUCCGGAUUUAUUGGGUUUAAAGGGUGCGUAGGCGGAUUAGUAAGUCAGUGGUGAAAGCCCAUCGCUCAACGGUGGAACUGCCAUUGAUACUGCUAGUCUUGAGUAUGGUUGAGGUGGGCGGAAUGUGUCAUGUAGCGGUGAAAUGCUUAGAUAUGACACAGAACACCAAUUGCGAAGGCAGCUCGCUAAGCCAUAACUGACGCUGAGGCACGAAAGCGUGGGGAGCAAAC